GAUGAAGAACGUAGCGAAAUGCGAUACGUAAUGUGAAUUGCAGAAUUCAGUGAAUCAUCGAGUCUUUGAACGCACAUUGCGCCCCCUGGUAUUCCGGGGGGCAUGCCUGUCCGAGCGUCAUUGCUGCCCUCAAGCACGGCUUGUGUGUUGGGCCUCCGUCCUCCUCCCGGGGGACGGGCCCGAAAGGCAGCGGCGGCACCGCGUCCGGUCCUCGAGCGUAUGGGGCUUCGUCACCCGCUCUUGUAGGCCCGGCCGGCGCUUGCCGACACAUCAAUCUUUUUUCCAGGUUGAACUCGGAUCAGGUAGGGAUACCCGCUGAACUUAGGCAUAUCAAUAAGCGGAGGA
rnacentral:misc_RNA from 1 species